rnacentral:tRNA from 1 species
GUCUUUAUGGUGUAGUGGUCAGCACGCUGGGCGCGUAUUCCAGAGGCCCAUGGUUCGAGUCCCGGCGAAGGCC